rnacentral:rRNA from 1 species
GAUGAACGCUGGCGGCGUGCCUAAUACAUGCAAGUCGAACGAGGUGCUUUUGUAGCAAUACGAGAGUAUCCUAGUGGCGAACGGGUGAGUAACGCGUUGGUGACCUACCCCAAAGUGUGGGAUAACAGUCCGAAAGGAUUGCUAAUACCGCAUGUGGUCUUCGGAUUUAGAAACUGAUGACUAAAGGAGCAAUUCGCUUUGGGAGGGACCUGCGUCCCAUCAGCUAGUUGGUGAGGUAAUGGCUCACCAAGGCUACGACGGGUAGGGGACCUGAGAGGGUGACCCCCCACAAUGGAACUGAAACACGGUCCAUACACCUACGGGUGGCAGCAGUAGGGAAUAUUGCACAAUGGGCGAAAGCCUGAUGCAGCAACGCCGCGUGUGCGAUGAAGGCCUUCGGGUCGUAAAGCACUUUUCUGGGAGA